AAAUUGAAGAGUUUGAUCAUGGCUCAGAUUGAACGCUGGCGGCAGGCCUAACACAUGCAAGUCGAACGGUAACAGGAAGCAGCUUGCUGCUUCGCUGACGAGUGGCGGACGGGUGAGUAAUGUCUGGGAAACUGCCUGAUGGAGGGGGAUAACUACUGGAAACGGUGGCUAAUACCGCAUAACGUCGCAAGACCAAAGAGGGGGACCUUCGGGCCUCUUGCCAUCAGAUGUGCCCAGAUGGGAUUAGCUUGUUGGUGAGGUAACGGCUCACCAAGGCGACGAUCCCUAGCUGGUCUGAGAGGAUGACCAGCCACACUGGAACUGAGACACGGUCCAGACUCCUACGGGAGGCAGCAGUGGGGAAUAUUGCACAAUGGGCGCAAGCCUGAUGCAGCCAUGCCGCGUGUAUGAAGAAGGCCUUCGGGUUGUAAAGUACUUUCAGCGGGGAGGAAGGUGUUGCGGUUAAUAACCGCAGCAAUUGACGUUACCCGCAGAAGAAGCACCGGCUAACUCCGUGCCAGCAGCCGCGGUAAUACGGAGGGUGCAAGCGUUAAUCGG
rnacentral:rRNA from 2 species